rnacentral:rRNA from 1 species
GAUGAACGCUGGCGGCGUGCCUAAUACAUGCAAGUCGAGCGAACGGACGAGAAGCUUGCUUCUCUGAUGUUAGCGGCGGACGGGUGAGUAACACGUGGAUAACCUACCUAUAAGACUGGGAUAACUUCGGGAAACCGUAGCUAAUACCGGAUAAUAUUUUGAACCGCAUGGUUCAAAAGUGAAAGACGGUCUUGCUUUCACUUAUAGAUGGAUCCGCGCUGCAUUAGCUAGUUGUUAAGGUAACGGCUUACCAAGGCAACGAUGCAUAGCCGACCUGAGAGGGUGAUCGGCCACACGGGAACUGAGACACGGUCCAGACUCCUACGGGAGGCAGCAGUAGGGAAUCUUCCGCAAUGGGCGAAAGCCUGACGGAGCAACGCCGCGUGAGUGAUGAAGGUCUUCGGAUCGUAAAACUCUGUUAUUAGGGAAGAACAUAUGUGUAAGUAACUGUGCACAUCUUGACGGUACCUAAUCAGAAAGCCACGGCUAACUACGUG